UGUGAGUUAUGGUCUGGUUCCUAUCAAAGAAGAAGAAAACCGUCUAAUACCAAGCAGAAAGUGUAAAUAAAGGAAGUUUUAGGUUGAUUUACGACGGCCCUGAUUUGCUUCUCUGUUGCAACUUGGUUUAAAGAGGUUGUCACAGCCCGGCACAGAGGAUGUUGAGCCUGUCUCCAGCCUGCCGCGUGUGCGGUACCUCACCUCUGGGCUGAACGGUGCGCUGCGGGUCCCUGUGUGUGGGUACGCCCGAAUCUGGAGCCAGGUCCAGCCUCUUUUAUGGCAGCAUGUCACGGAGAUCAUGGACCUACGGCAACCUGAAGACGAGAGAGCCGUAUCGAAAUGCACCGCCAAAUCAGGAAGUGUUGAGCGAGGAUUGGAAUGCCAUGACAUCACUGGGGUAUCCCACUCACAUUUGGAAGACGUCUUCUUGAGCCUCAGGACCCCGUACGGAUGGGAGGUCGACUCUGAGGCACUUCCUGUCGAUGGGUGAGGUGGCUGUCGGGGGAGUAGAAGCGCUUCCUGUGCAUGCAUGAAGGCCUCUGUCCAAGACCGAAAGAGAAACAGGUGCAUUUUGGGUUCAGAAUAAUCAUUUAUUAAAAAAAGAAAUGCAUAUAAGCAUCAGCUCUUGAAAUUGUCCUUCAGCACUAUUUUCUAUGUAAUGCUCAAUAAAUAUGAUCAACAUACCCAUUCUGUUGAUGUGGAGCAGAAUGCAUGUUUAAAGAUAUUUGCUUCGUUAUUUAACGCCCUUAGAAGUAAUUUGUGUAAGAUACUGUAGAGGUCAUAUCUGUAGUAGCUUUAAGUUAAUGGCUUGCCCAAGACACUGGAAAUGCCAAUUGUGUGUCUAAUGCAGAUUAUACACAAGUACAUGUGGAUAAUAUGAUACCUUUAAAAAAAUAAAUGGAUUAAUACAAUCCUGUUAAUGCCACUUCAGUGUAUGUUUAUUUGCCUGUACUUUGUUAUAGUAGUUAAUUUUAAGAUUAGAGAGGAAAAUUAAUAGAAUCAGUAAACUGUACUCUAUUGGUAGUACUUGCUCACAAACAACAUGUUCCCAACAUUUGACAUUUUUGUUGGGUAUAUUCUAAACUACAUUUCAUGUUUAUAUGAAACAAUUGUUACUUUGACACAAUUUAGAGCGCACGUACACAUUCACACAAACACACACACACACACACUCACACACACACACAAACCCUGCACUAGCAUACACAAUGCAACAGAGUGGCACACAAAAAAAUGGGGAACUAGGAAACUCUCUUUCAGAUUCAGUUCCCCAUCGGGUGCCUGUGAAUGACUCUUGCUGGUCUGCGCAUUUGACACGAAAUAUUGGGCCCGGCCAAGCUCAGAGACACCAUGGGGAGGGAGCAGGGGAGAAAGAUCAGCUUGCUUCCCAGACGAAAGCACAGGGCUUCUUCUGAGAACAGGCAGGAAAAUACAUCGGUCAGCAGCACACAGGAGAGUUAAACACUGCUAUAGCUAUUGGGGCCUAGGGGACUGAGAAAUGCAUGUGUGCGGUACAAUAGAAAGCAAUCAUAGGUGCUAAAUAGGAGGAGAAAGUAGUUUUAAAAAAUAUCUUGAAACCUGAAACUGGAUGCUGAUUCUUUUUUUUUUUUCUUUACCAAUAUUUACCAAUAUAGGUAAACAAGGACAGAAUCUACAAUGCUUGGGCACUUUUGAUAUGUUACUCUAUAAUAUUGAAAAAAUUACUUUAGAAUUAAAAAUGAUUUCUCUUCAGCAUUGUUUGUACAGGACACUCCUUGGACAGUGUCUGCUGAAUGCCUGUAAUGUGAAAUGAAAAGGGCGAAUCACCUUGGAUUGAGCAUACUGUUGUGCUGCAGUCCGUAGUAUUACACCCAUGAAUGAGCCAUCCUCUCCUGCAAAUUGGAUGACAUCUCUUCCAUUUACUGAUUAGUCCCGUCCAAAAGUAGCGGAACAGCAAGGUCCAUUUUUUUGGUUUCACUAUGCACUGAUGUGUAUAAUUGAGUUUAAGGUUUUCUGCUUUUAUUUCCUGGUAUUUUCUAUCUAGAUUUGUUAAACAACUUAGAACAUAUCACCAUUUGUAUCAGACCACCCAAUUCUUAGGUGAGCAAAAGUAUUGCAAGUAAAAAUGUAAUGUAUUGGAACAUGUGACUGACAGGUGUUUCUUGUUGCCCAGAUGUGUCCUGUUAGAUUGAGUGGUUAAACAAUAAAUAGUUCUGAAUGUCUA